rnacentral:rRNA from 1 species
AUUGAACGCUGGCGGCAGGCCUAAUACAUGCAAGUCGAGCGGAGCGGCGGACGGGUGAGUAAUGCCUGGGAAUCUGCCUGGUAGUGGGGGAUAACGUCCGGAAACGGGCGCUAAUACCGCAUACUAUCAGAUGAGCCUAGGUCGGAUUAGCUAGUUGGUGGGGUAAUGGCCUACCUAGGCGACGAUCCGUAGCUGGUCUGAGAGGAUGAUAAGCCACACUGGAACUGAGACACGGUCCAGACUCCUACGGGAGGCAGCAGUGGGGAAUAUUUGACAAUGGACGAAAGCCUGAUCCAGCCAGGCCGCGUGAGUGAAGAAGGUCUUCGGAUUGUAAAGCACUUUAGGUAGAGAGGCGUUACCUACAGAGUAAGCACCGGCUAACUUCGUGCCAGCAGCCGCGGUAAUAC